AUUGAACGCUAGCGGGAUGCCUUACACAUGCAAGUCGAACGGAGUGGCGAACGGGUGAGUAAUGUAUCGGAACGUGCCCAGUAGCGGGGGAUAACUACGCGAAAGCGUAGCUAAUACCGCAUACUAUUGGAUGGGCCGAUAUCGGAUUAGCUAGUUGGUGGGGUAACGGCCUACCAAGGCGACGAUCCGUAACUGGUUUGAGAGGAUGACCAGCCACACUGGGACUGAGACACGGCCCAGACUCCUACGGGAGGCAGCAGUGGGGAAUAUUGGACAAUGGGGGAAACCCUGAUCCAGCCAUGCCGCGUGUGUGAUGAAGGCCUUCGGAUUGUAAAGCACUUUUGGCAGGAAAGCGGUACCUGCAGAAUAAGCACCGGCUAACUACGUGCCAGCAGCCGCGGUAAUUC
rnacentral:rRNA from 1 species